rnacentral:rRNA from 1 species
UAACUUUUAACAAUGGAUCUCUAGGCUCUCACAUCGAUGAAGAACACAGUGAAAUGUGAUAAGUAAUGUGAAUUGCAGAAUUCAGUGAAUCAUUGAAUCUUUGAACGCACCUUGCACCUUUUGGUAUUCCAAGAGGUACACCUGUUUGAGUGUCA